rnacentral:rRNA from 1 species
GAUACCUACGGGAGGCAGCAGUGGGGAAUAUUGGACAAUGGGGGGAACCCUGAUCCAGCGACGCCGCGUGAGUGAAGAAGUAUUUCGGUAUGUAAAGCUCUCUCAGCAGGGAAGAAAAUGACGGUACCUGACUAAGAAGCCCCGGCUAACUACGUGCCAGCAGCCGCGGUAAUACGUAGGGGGCGAGCGUUAUCCGGAUUCACUGGGUGUAAAGGGAGCGUAGACGGCCAUGCAAGCCAGGGGUGAAAGCCCGGGGCCCAACCCCGGGACUGCCCUUGGAACUGCAUGGCUGGAGUGCGGGAGGG